rnacentral:rRNA from 1 species
GUCCUUUUGAAUUUAAUAUAAGGUUUGACCUGCCCACUGAAAUUUUGAAUGGCCGCAGUAAUUUGACUGUGCAAAGGUAGCAUAAUCAUUAGUUUUUUAAUUAAAAGCUUGUAUGAAGGGUUGGACGAGGUAAAAGCUGUCUCUAUUUAAUUUAAAAUAGAAUUUAAUUUUUAAGUUAAAAAGCUUAAAUAUUUUUAAAAGACGAGAAGACCCUAUAGAUCUUUAUAUUAUUUUUUUUAAUUUUAAUUAAGAAUAUUUUAUUUAUUAAUAAAAAUAAUAUUUUAUUGGGGUAAUAAAAAGAUUAAAAAAAUUCUUUUUUUAUUUUUACAUUAAUAAAUGAAUUUAUGAUCCAAUAAUAUUGAUUAAAAGAUUAAGUUACCUUAGGGAUAACAGCGUAAUUUUUUUAGAGAGUUCAUAUCGAUAAAAAAGUUUGCGACCUCGAUGUUGGAUUAAAAAUUAUCUUAGGUGCAGAAGUUUAAGAUUUUGGUCUGUUCGACCAUUGAAUUUUU